GGAGAGGUAGCGAAGUGGUCAUAACGCGGCGGUCUUGAAAACCGUUUGGGGUCACACCCACAAGGGUUCGAAUCCCUUCCUCUCCGCCA
rnacentral:tRNA from 1 species